rnacentral:rRNA from 1 species
GGGGAAUAUUGCACAAUGGGCGAAAGCCUGAUGCAGCAACGCCGCGUGAGUGAUGAAGGCCUUCGGGUUGUAAAGCUCUGUCUUCUGGGACGAUAAUGACGGUACCAGAGGAGGAAGCCACGGCUAACUACGUGCCAGCAGCCGCGGUAAUACGUAGGUGGCAAGCGUUGUCCGGAUUUACUGGGCGUAAAGGAUGCGUAGGCGGAUACUUAAGUCAGAUGUGAAAAUCCCGGGCUUAACUUGGGAACUGCAUUUGAAACUGGGUAUCUAGAGUGCGGGAGAGGAAAGUGGAAUUCCUAGUGUAGCGGUGAAAUGCGUAGAGAUUAGGAAGAACACCAGUGGCGAAGGCGACUUUCUGGACCGUAACUGACGCUGAGGCAUGAAAGCGUGGGGAGCAGACA